rnacentral:rRNA from 1 species
GACGAACGCUGGCGGCGUGCCUAAUACAUGCAAGUAGAACGCUGAAGGAAGGAGCUUGCUCUUUCCGGAUGAGUUGCGAACGGGUGAGUAACGCGUAGGUAACCUGCCUGGUAGCGGGGGAUAACUAUUGGAAACGAUAGCUAAUACCGCAUAAGAGUAGAUGUCGCAUGACAUUUGCUUAAAAGGUGCAAUUGCAUCACUACCAGAUGGACCUGCGUUGUAUUAGCUAGUUGGUGGGGUAACGGCUCACCAAGGCGACGAUACAUAGCCGACCUGAGAGGGUGAUCGGCCACACUGGGACUGAGACACGGCCCAGACUCCUACGGGAGGCAGCAGUAGGGAAUCUUCGGCAAUGGACGGAAGUCUGACCGAGCAACGCCGCGUGAGUGAAGAAGGUUUUCGGAUCGUAAAGCUCUGUUGUAAGAG